rnacentral:rRNA from 1 species
GCAACGCCGCGUGAGGGAUGACGGCCUCCGGGUUGUAAACCUCUUUCAGCAGGGACGAAGCGAGAGUGACGGUACCUGCAGAAGAAGGACCGGCCAACUACGUGCCAGCAGCCGCGGUAAUACGUAGGGUCCGAGCGUUGUCCGGAAUUAUUGGGCGUAAAGGGCUCGUAGGCGGUUUGUCGCGUCGGGAGUGAAAACUCAGGGCUCAACCCUGAGCGUGCUUCCGAUACGGGCAGACUAGAGGUAUUCAGGGGAGAACGGAAUUCCUGGUGUAGCGGUGGAAUGCGCAGAUAUCAGGAGGAACACCGGUGGCGAAGGCGGUUCUCUGGGAAUUACCUGACGCUGAGGAGCGAAAGCAUGGGGAGCGAACAGGAUUAGAUACCCUGGUAGUCCAUGCCGUAAACGUUGGGCGCUAGGUGUGGGGACCUUCCACGGUUUCCGUGCCGCAGCUAACGCAUUAAGCGCCCCGCCUGGGGAGUACGGCCGCAAGGCUAAAACUCAAAGGAAUUGACGGGGGCCCGCACAAGCGGCGGAGCAUGCUGAUUAAUUCGAUGCAACGCGAAGAACCUUACCUGGGUUUGACAUAUGCCGGAAAGCUGCAGAGAUGUGGCCCCCCUUGUGGU